rnacentral:rRNA from 1 species
UACGAGGGAUGCAAGUGUUAUCCGGAAUUAUUGGGCGUAAAGCGUUUGUAGGCGGGCGAGUGUGUUUAAUGUUAAAUCUUAAAGCUCAACUUUGAAAUUGCGUUAAAAACUGCUUGUCUUGAGUAUGGUAGGGGUAAAGGGAAUUCCCAGUGUAGCGGUGAAAUGCGUAGAUAUUGGGAAGAACACUAAACAGCGAAGGCACUUUACUAGGCUAAUACUGACGCUGAGAAACGAAAGGUAAGGUAGCGAAACGGAUUAGAUACCCGUGUAGUCUUACCCGUAAACUAUGGACACUAAACGGUAAAUUUUUAAUUUACUGUUAAAGCUAACGCGUUAAGUGUCCCGCCUGGGGAGUAUGCUUGCAAAAGUGAAACUCAAAGGAAUUGACGGGGGCCCGCACAAGCGGUGGAGCAUGUGGUUUAAUUCGACGGUACACGAAGAACCUUACCAGGAUUUGACAUGCUAGAUAGUUGCUUGAAAGAGUAACGUGCCGUAAGGAAUCUAGACACAGGUGGUGCAUGGCUGUCGUCAGUUCGUGUUGUGAAAUGUUGGGUUAAGUCCCGCAACGAACGCAACCCUUGUCUUUAGUUAUUUUCUAAAGAGACUGCCUGUAAUAAACAGGAGGAAGGUAAGGAUGAGGUCAAGUCAUCAUGCCCCUUAUGUCCUGGGCUACACACGUGCUACAAUGGGAAAGACAAUGAGCUGCAAAUCUGUAAAUUUAAGCAAAUCUCUUAAACUUUCUCGUAGUUCGGAUUGUGGGCUGCAACUCGCCCACAUGAAGUUGGAAUCGCUAGUAAUCGCCAGUCAGCUAUAUGGCGGUGAAUCCGUUCCCGGGCCU